rnacentral:rRNA from 1 species
AUUGAACGCUGGCGGCAGGCCUAACACAUGCAAGUCGAACGAGUGGCGGACGGGUGAGUAAUGUCUGGGAAACUGCCUGAUGGAGGGGGAUAACUACUGGAAACGGUAGCUAAUACCGCAUAUUAUUCGAGCGGCCGAUAACUGAUUAGCUAGUUGGUGGGGUAAAGGCCUACCAAGGCGACGAUCAGUAGCUGGUCUGAGAGGAUGACCAGCCACACUGGAACUGAGACACGGUCCAGACUCCUACGGGAGGCAGCAGUGGGGAAUAUUGCACAAUGGGCGCAAGCCUGAUGCAGCCAUGCCGCGUGUAUGAAGAAGGCCUUCGGGUUGUAAAGUACUUUCAGCGGGGAGGCGUUACCCGCAGAAGAAGCACCGGCUAACUCCGUGCCAGCCGCCGCGGUAAUUC